rnacentral:rRNA from 1 species
GACGAACGCUGGCGGCGUGCUUAACACAUGCAAGUCGAACGGAAAGGCCCUGCUUUUGUGGGGUGCUCGAGUGGCGAACGGGUGAGUAACACGUGAGUAACCUGCCCUUGACUUUGGGAUAACUUCAGGAAACUGGGGCUAAUACCGGAUAGGAGCUCCUGCUGCAUGGUGGGGGUUGGAAAGUUUCGGCGGUUGGGGAUGGACUCGCGGCUUAUCAGCUUGUUGGUGGGGUAGUGGCUUACCAAGGCUUUGACGGGUAGCCGGCCUGAGAGGGUGACCGGCCACAUUGGGAAUGAGAUACGGCCCAGACUCCUACGGGAGGCAGCAGUGGGGAAUAUUGCACAAUGGGCGGAAGCCUGAUGCAGCAACGCCGCGUGCGGGAUGACGGCCUUCGGGUUGUAAACCGCUUUCGCCUGUGACGAGGCGUGAGUGACGGUAAUGGGUAAAGAAGCACCGGCUAACUACGUG